CUGGGCCAAAGAGCCUUCUUCCAGACAUGGCUCUCGGCCCAAAAUAGACUCAGCAAGGGACCAGAUAUUGGGUUUAUAGCGCUGGCAAAGGUUAAACCCCUUAUCACUAGGGGAGAUUGGACCCCACCUCCCAAGGGGACGAUGUCACAAUAGCUGGGACGGGGAGUUGGCCAAGUCUGUUGGAGGUUCACAGUUUCACACCCUCAGGGCACAGGGAGUGGAUGGAUCCAGAGACACAGCAGAGACACGCCGCAAAUACUCACAUGGACACAUGAGCCGAGAGGAGGAAGGGGGUUGCAAGGGAGAAGGAAAUGAGCAGCAAGUGAAUGACUUAUGCUAUUUUGGGCAAUGAAAUCACAUAAUGAUGGAAAUAUUUCUCCACACCUGUUUUUAUAAUGUUCUUACCGACUAACCAGGAUUCCGUUAAAGAAAAAUUGUUACUCCCGCACUCAUCAUGCUGUCAUGUUAACUUGAAGGAAGGAAGCGUGUUUCCUUCCUGGACAGUAUCUACCGGGCAGCAGCAUACCACCUUGAAGAUCCUCUGAAAGGAGUGUCCCACAUCGGACAUCACUGCUCUUCUGACGAUCAGGUUUCCCAAGUACCUACAGUGCUUCUUCAGAAAAGGGCAUGAGAGUCAAAGGAGCCCGUCAGAACUUCUCAGCCUUGGGGCAUCCAGGUGGCUCAGUCGGUUGGGCGUCUGACUUCGGCUCAGGAUGCCUGGAAUCACAUGCUUCUUGUCUGUCCACUUUCUGAUGCAUUUCUUCAGUUUACCUCAUCCAUACCCUGCCAAGCAAUUUGACUUUCUUGUAAGUCGCCAAGGCCUGGUUUCUCUUGCUGACAACCACAGACUCUUCGAGAGGAUGGAAGGAACCAAGCCUCACAGUCCAGCCCGUGCCUGCUUCCACAGCCCUCCGUCUGGUCACAUCCUCACGUGCUCUGUUUUCAGCAGCGCCGACAAACACAGGACCCAAGGGAGUUUUCACACCUGCUGAUGCUUUGCAAAGGCCCACUGCUUUCCUGGACACCUUCUAGGAGCCCCAGCCCACCGAACUCCUACACAUUCUCAACGCUCAGCCCAAAUAUCAUUACCUCCUGAGAAGAUUUACCCAUCUACACCAUCACACCAGGCUGAUUUUCAAUAACCCAGGGUGAUUUCAGUAAUUCUCAUACCACGUAUGAACUGGAUUUUUCGGCGGCCCACCCUUCACUGGACAGUGGAUUUGUGGAGGAAGGGACCCCACGGGAGGCACACGUCUGGAAAGAAGAAAGGGACCUUAGCAGGUGGGAUAACAUGCUAAGAAGCCCUUCCCACAAAGUAUCCCUUUCUGUCCACUUUUCAUGGUAAAACAGCUGAUUCCGGUUAAAUUACUUUGGCUCCAAUCUCGCUUCAACAGUGGAGAUAUGAAGCCAGUUCCCUCCCUAAGGAGAAGACACUUGUGGAUAUUAGCAAGAUCCAGACCUAGAUGCAGAACUUUCUGGAGGCCAUGCCUUUCCACUUCCUCCUUAUGAGCUCCCCUUGGCCACAGGUCAGGGUGGCUGUGCGGUGAUCUCUGCUUUUGUUUUUGAGGUCUGCUUUUGCAAGUUUAUAAAUUAAACACCGUGUGCAUUCCGUC